rnacentral:rRNA from 1 species
UACGAAGGGGGCUAGCGUUGUUCGGAUUUACUGGGCGUAAAGGGCGCGUAGGCGGCGCGUAAAGUCGGACAUGAAAUCAUUGGGCUUAACCCAAUGGCUGUGCCCGAUACUUGCGUGCUUAGAGUGCGGGAGAGGCAAUCGGAAUUCUCGGUGUAGCGGUGAAAUGCGUAGAUAUCGAGAGGAACUCCAGUGACGAAGGUGGGUUGCUGGACCGACACUGACGCUGAGGCGCGAAAGCUAGGGGAGCAAACGGG